rnacentral:rRNA from 1 species
GUGCACCUACGGGAGGCAGCAGUGGGGAAUAUUGGGCAAUGGACGCAAGUCUGACCCAGCAACGCCGCGUGAAGGAAGAAGGCUUUCGGGUUGUAAACUUCUUUUAAGGGGGAAGAGCAGAAGACGGUACCCCUUGAAUAAGCCACGGCUAACUACGUGCCAGCAGCCGCGGUAAUACGUAGGUGGCAAGCGUUAUCCGGAUUCACUGGGCGUAAAGGGAGCGCAGGCGGCACGGCAAGCCUGGUGUGAAAACCCGGGGCCCA